GAUGAACGCUGGCGGCGUGCUUAACACAUGCAAGUCGAACGGAAAGGCCCUGCUCUUGUUGGUUUCUCGUGUGGCGAACGGGGGAGUAACACGUGAGUAUCCCGUCCUUGUCUUUGGGAUAACUUCAGGAAACUGGGGCGAAUAUCCGAUAGAAGCUCUUGCUGCAUGGUGUGGGAUGGAAAGUUUCGGCGGUUGGGGAUGGACUCGCUGCUUCUCAGCUUGUUGGUGGAGUAGUGACGUACCAAGGCUUUGACGGGUAGCCGGCCUGAGAGGGUGACCGGCCACAAUGGGACUGAGAUACGGCCCAGACUGCUACGGGAGGCAGCAGUGGAGAAUAUUGCACAAUGGGCGGAAGCCUGAUGCGGCAACGCCGCGUGCGGGAUGACGGCCUUCGGGUUGUAAACCGCUGUCGCAUGUGACGAAGCGUGAGUGACGGUAAUGGGUAAAGAAGCACCGGCUAACUACGUG
rnacentral:rRNA from 1 species